GAGUUUGAUCCUGGCUCAGAUUGAACGCUGGCGGCAUGCCUUACACAUGCAAGUCGAACGGCAGCACGGACUUCGGUCUGGUGGCGAGUGGCGAACGGGUGAGUAAUAUAUCGGAACGUACCCUAGAGUGGGGGAUAACGUAGCGAAAGUUACGCUAAUACCGCAUACGAUCUACGGAUGAAAGUGGGGGCUCGCAAGACCUCAUGCUCAUGGAGCGGCCGAUAUCUGAUCAGCUAGUUGGUGAGGUAAAGGCUCACCAAGGCGACGAUCAGUAGCUGGUCUGAGAGGGCGACCAGCCACACUGGGACUGAGACACGGCCCAGACUCCUACGGGAGGCAGCAAUGGGGAAUUUUGGACAAUGGGGGCAACCCUGAUCCAGCAAUGCCGCGUGAGUGAACCCGUUUUUCGGGUUGUAAAGCUCUUUUGUCAGGGAAGA
rnacentral:rRNA from 1 species